GUGUCAGCAGCCGCGGUAAGACGUAGGGCGCAAGCGUUGUCCGGAUUUAUUGGGCGUAAAGAGCUCGUAGGCGGCUUGUUGCGUCGACCGUGAAAACCCGCGGCUCAACUGCGGGCUUGCGGUCGAUACGGGCAGGCUGGAGUUCGGUAGGGGAGACUGGAAUUCCUGGUGUAGCGGUGAAAUGCGCAGAUAUCAGGAGGAACACCGGUGGCGAAGGCGGGUCUCUGGGCCGAUACUGACGCUGAGGAGCGAAAGCGUGGGGAGCGAACAGGAUUAGAAACCCGGGUAGUCC
rnacentral:rRNA from 1 species